CCAGAGACCCGGUCGGAUUGCCACCUAGGCGCGGGGAAAGCGGUGUUGCUUCCAUAGUGGAUUUCUCUACACCCUGUGCCUUCUACCUGCCUGGAAUAAUCUACCCUGCACUGAUACAUCUUCAAAAUGUUUUUCCUAAACCCCAGAGCUGGAUUUAAUCCUUCCUCCUGUGACCAACUUGUUGAUACAAAUCAACUUUAAUUAUUCUAGUAAUCACUGUCCAUCCAAAUAAAUGUACAAAAUUGAGCAUC